CCUGGCUCAGAACGAACGCUGGCGGCGUGGAUAAGACAUGCAAGUCGGACGGGAUUUUCCGUUGUAGCAAUACGAUGGAAAGUCUAGUGGCGAACGGGUGCUUAACACGUGGGCAACCUGCCAGGAAGUGGGGGAUAGCUCGCCGAAAGGCGAAUUAAUACCGCAUGUGAUUAGAGAGGACAUCCUUUCGAAAUUAAAGUCGGGGCAACCUGACGCUUCUUGUGGGGCCCGCGGCCUAUCAGCUAGUUGGUGAGGUAACGGCUCACCAAGGCUUUGACGGGUAGCUGGUCUGAGAGGACGACCAGCCACACUGGGACUGAGACACGGCCCAGACACCUACGGGUGGCAGCAGUCGAGAAUUUUUGACAAUGGGGGAAACCCUGAUCGAGCGACGCCGCGUGGAGGAUGAAGGUCUUCGGAUUGUAAACUCCUGUCAUUGGGGAACAAUGCGCAAAUAUUAACUGUAUUUGUGUUGAUAGUACCCGAAGAGGAAGAGACGGCUAACUCUGUGCCAGCAGCCGCGGUAAUACAGAGGUCUCAAGCGUUGUUCGGAUUCAUUGGGCGUAAAGGGUGCGUAGGCGGCGCGGUAAGUCGGGUGUGAAAUCUCGGAGCUUAACUCCGAAACUGCAUUCGAUACUGCCGUG
rnacentral:rRNA from 1 species